GCACACUGCUUGAAGAGAUAGCCUAUUAGUAGGCCCUAAAGGACCUAAAGCCCACCCCAAGUGACGUCUAUGUUCACAAUAUGCUCUACGCAGAUAACCAUCAAGAUCAAAAAAUAAAUUGUCUGCAAAAAUCAUGAAUGCAGGUACUUAAAUCAUUGUGUGGCUUCAUCAUGAUGGUUUAAAUACCUCUGCAUUUAUUGUAGGUGAUUCAUAGUAUGUGCACCAUUUACA